rnacentral:rRNA from 1 species
GAUGAACGCUAGCGGCAGGCUUAACACAUGCAAGUCGAGGGGUAUUGGUUUUCGGACCAAGAGACCGGCGCACGGGUGCGUAACGCGUAUGCAAUCUACCUUUUGCAGAGGGAUAGCCCCAGAGAAAUUUGGAUUAAUACCUCAUAGUAUAGUACUUUGGCAUCAAGGAACUAUUAAAGUCACAACGGCAAAAGAUGAGCAUGCGUCCCAUUAGCUAGUUGGUAAGGUAACGGCUUACCAAGGCUACGAUGGGUAGGGGUCCUGAGAGGGAGAUCCCCCA